rnacentral:rRNA from 1 species
AUUGAACGCUGGCGGCAGGCCUAACACAUGCAAGUCGAGCGGAUGAAGGGAGCUUGCUCCUGGAUUCAGCGGCGGACGGGUGAGUAAUGCCUAGGAAUCUGCCUGAUAGUGGGGGAUAACGUCCGGAAACGGGCGCUAAUACCGCAUACGUCCUGAGGGAGAAAGUGGGGGAUCUUCGGACCUCACGCUAUCAGAUGAGCCUAGGUCGGAUUAGCUAGUUGGUGGGGUAAAGGCCUACCAAGGCGACGACCCGUAACUGGUCUGAGAGGAUGAUCAGUCACACUGGAACUGAGACACGGUCCAGACUCCUACGGGAGGCAGCAGUGGGGAAUAUUGGACAAUGGGCGAAAGCCUGAUCCAGCCAUGCCGCGUGUGUGAAGAAGGUCUUCGGAUUGUAAAGCACUUUAAGUUGGGAGGAAGGGCAGUAAGUUAAUACCUUGCUGCUUUGACGUUACCAACAGAAUAAGCACCGGCUAACUUCGUG